rnacentral:rRNA from 1 species
AUUGAACGCUGGCGGCAGGCCUAACACAUGCAAGUCGAGCGGAGCGGCGGACGGGUGAGUAAUUCCUAGGAAUCUGCCUGGUAGUGGGGGAGAACGUCCGGAACCGGGCGCUAAUACCGCAUCCUAUCACAUGAGCCUAGGUCGAAUUAGCGAGUUGGUGGGGUAAAGGCCUACCAAGGCGACGAUCCGUAACUGGUCUGAGAGGAUGAUCAGUCACACUGGAACUGAGACACGGUCCAGACUCCGACGGGAGGCAGGAGUGGGGAAUAUUGGAAAAGGGGCGAAAGCCGGAGCCAGCCAUGCCGCGUGUGUGAAGAAGGACUUCGGGUUGUAAAGCACUUUAAGUUGGGAGGCGUUACCAACAGAAUAAGCACCGGCUAACUUCGUGCCAGCAGCCGCGGUAAUAC